CAACAGCGUCUCCAGAGCACAGCAUCUUUGUGGCCUUGAAACAUCGGAGACGCAAACCCGUGGGAGGAUUCAUUUGAAGAAAUUUUUCCAGCAAAUGUGCUGAGUGAAGAGCUGAUGACCUUCAGACUGCAGACACGACCAUGAACCUCCUCCUGCAGGUAGAAAUACUUUACAACGCGGAUGAGCUCGAUGGAUUUCGUUGGAAAUGGCGAUCUGCUGGUGCAAAAAGCCGGAGAAGAUGAAGAUGGACGGAUCCCCUCGUAGCCCGGAGACGCAGCGCGGCUGACGAGUUGGCAGCGGUUGCAGCUAUGAGUCACACUCCCGCCCUGCUGCAGUGCACAAUCGCACACCUUGGCAGCAAAGCAGGACUCACAGCGGCUUCAGCUUGACGCUGACCGCCGGCCGCAUUAAAGAGGGCCGGGACGACAUCAGCGGGGAGAAGCCAGCGAGGAUGAGUGUGAAGAUGCUUUCGGCUUCUGUCAUUUUCUCACAACAGAAUAAGAUUGUUUGUUAUUUUCUUUGGAAUGUCGCGAUCGAGUCAGAUGGAGCCAAAACACAGCGUACGGCAACAAGUACAGACUAGUAUAUUGUUACAUUCCUCACAUCUUCCACCACUUCUAUUAAAAC
ensembl:lncRNA